rnacentral:rRNA from 1 species
CCUACGGGUGGCAGCAGUGGGGAAUAUUGCGCAAUGGGCGAAAGCCUGACGCAGCGACGCCGCGUGAGGGAUGAAGGUCUUCGGAUCGUAAACCUCUGUCAGCAGGGAAGAACGGUCACUGUGCUAAUCAGCAGUGAAUUGACGGUACCUGCAAAGGAAGCACCAGCUAACUCCGUGCCAGCAGCCGCGGUAAUACGGAGGGUGCGAGCGUUAAUCGGAAUUACUGGGCGUAAAGGGCUCGUAGGCGGUAUGUCAAGUCAAGGGGGAAAUCCCCGGGCUCAACGUGGGAACUGCCUUUGAAACGGGCAAACUGGAGUGUGUGAGAGGAUAGUGGAAGUCCAGGUGUAGGAGUGAAAUGCGUAGAUAUCUGGAGGAACAUCAGUGGCGAAGGCGACUAUCUGGCACAUAACUGACGCUGAGGAGCGAAAGCGUGGGUAGCAAACAGGAUUAGAUACCCGUGUAGUC